GGCGGCCGCGGGAAUUCGAUUAGAGUUUGAUCAUGGCUCAGAUUGAACGCUGGCGGCAUGCCUUACACAUGCAAGUCGAACGGCAGCGCGGGGCAACCUGGCGGCGAGUGGCGAACGGGUGAGUAAUAUAUCGGAACGUACCCUGGAGUGGGGGAUAACGUAGCGAAAGUUACGCUAAUACCGCAUACGAUCUAAGGAUGAAAGUGGGGGAUCGCAAGACCUCAUGCUCCUGGAGCGGCCGAUAUCUGAUUAGCUAGUUGGUGAGGUAAUGGCUCACCAAGGCGACGAUCCGUAACUGGUCUGAGAGGAUGAUCAGUCACACUGGAACUGAGACACGGUCCAGACUCCUACGGGAGGCAGCAGUGGGGAAUAUUGGACAAUGGGCGAAAGCCUGAUCCAGCCAUGCCGCGUGUGUGAAGAAGGUCUUCGGAUUGUAAAGCACUUUAAGUUGGGAGGAAGGGCAUUAACCUAAUACGUUAGUGUUUUGACGUUACCGACAGAAUAAGCACCGGCUAACUCUGUGCCAGCAGCCGCGGUAAUACGAAUCACUAGUGAAUUCGCGGCCGCCUGCAGGUCGACCAUA
rnacentral:rRNA from 1 species